ACCUACGGGGGGCAGCAGUGGGGAAUAUUGCACAAUGGGGGAAACCCUGAUGCAGCGACGCCGCGUGAGUGAAGAAGUAUCUCGGUACGUAAAGCUCUUUCAGCAGGGAAGAAAAAAAGUCUUUGGCUUUGGACGGUACCUGACUAAGAAGCCCCGGCUAACUACGUGCCAGCAGCCGCGGUAAUACGUAGGGGGCAAGCGUUAUCCGGAUUUACUGGGUGUAAAGGGAGCGUAGACGGCAGCGCAAGUCUGGAGUGAAAUGCCGGGGCUCAACCCCGGAACUGCUCUGGAAACUGUGCAGCUAG
rnacentral:rRNA from 1 species